UGCAAAUGAAAAAAUCAAAUAAGUGUUAUGUCUCGAUUUUAUAUUUACAGAUCUUUUUUAUAAAUAUUUCCACAGGUAAUCUUAUUUUCUUUAAAAAAGUUGCUAUAUCAGCCCAGGCGCGUACUUGUCCGCCGAAUUACUAGGAAUUUCCGGGUGGGCCCUUUUCACGUAGACCCUUGAAUCUUGAUUUAUACACGUUUUCCUACUUUUAUUUCAUUAAAUUACCUAUUGUAACUUUGUAAUUUCUUAGAUAGGUAGGUAGGUAGGUAGGCUGUAUGGACUGAUUCUUGAAGAAUAUUUAUAAUUUAUGUUUGUAAGAGAGUCCUGUGUCUGCCUACAAUUGAUUAACUACUAACUUAUUUUUUGCACAAAUAAUAAUUAGUUUGUUACCAUCGACAAAAAAAAUAAAUCAGAAUCAGAAUACAUUACGAGGUAUUAAAAUUGAUCAAAUUAUUAUUUCGAUACGACAUAUCGACUGGUAAAAGGCAAAAGGAGCUAAGCGACAGUUUUAUUACUUUUCAGGAGAGCAAAAACCAAUUUUUUAUUUCUUUUUAGCUUUGGCAUAGGCGCUUCGGUAUUUAUUUAAGCUUAAAGAAUGAAGUUAUUAUAUAUUUUAGUUCUAUUUUAUGUGACCUUGAUGGCUUCAUACUAGUUAUAUUGAAAAUGUUUGUUAAUUUUUAAACACAAUGAAUUUUUG